CCCUUAGAUGUCCUGGGCCGCACGCGCGCUACACUGAUGCAUUCAACGAGUCUACCUUGGCCGAGAGGCCUGGGCAACCUUUUAAACGUGCAUCGUGAUAGGGAUAGAUUAUUGCAAUUAUUAAUCUUGAACGAGGAAUUCCUAGUAAGCGCAAAUCAUCAAUUUGCAUUGAUUACGUCCCUGCACUUUGUACACACCGCCCGUCGCACCUACCGAUUGAAUGGUCCGGUGAGGACUCGGGAUUUUUACCAGUUUCCUUCAUUGGGAAUUGGUGAGGAGAACUUGUCCAAACCUUAUCAUUUAGAGGAAGGUGAAGUCGUAACA
rnacentral:rRNA from 1 species